AACCUAUCGGGAAGGACACUAGUGUAAUCUGAAACAAUACAGCAUAGCCUACGUUAUUUUAAAAAAUAGCUCACCUAUCUAAUUCUCUUUGUAUUUGAUUUUAUUCGUGUUUUGCCAAAGUUACUGUCUUGAGCAAUGAUUGCAGUGAAUGCAGCACUCAACAUCUGGCAUGAAGGGUGAAUGAACGGCCUCCUCCGAGACCACUCUGAAGACUGGCUGACAAGAAUUGCUUGGGAAGAACUGAGUGCCACCACUCCCACCAUCUCCUCCCAGUGGCCAACAAGCCUCCUUUGCUAUGGGCUGAACUGCCCUGACCUGGCAGUAUGAGACCUGAAGCUAUUCCAGAACUCAUGCCUUGUCACUGUGGUGUCCUUGCUGCUAAUCCCUACAUCUAGCUGGCUGACCUUCAGCUUUCUCAUGCCGUUAUCUGUUGUGUAAUGAACUAGAAUCAGGAUUCUUAUCCUAAUAUAUAAAUAUUAUCUCACUGAUGCUUCAAAUGAUGCUACUGGUUUGGAACUAAAGCUUGUUCCUACUCUCACUUAGAAGAGUGCAGAUCCCUUGACUGCUGUGCAGUUGCUCCUGAUUUACACUGGGGUUGAAGAGAAUUAGGCACCCGGCCUCCGAUUUCCCAUGGAAAAUGGACUUCAAGUGGAGUUGCAGCAGGUGUCCAUUUGAUGGCAAGUACUUCAGUGGCAUGACCUCAGGCAUCAGCAGUGACAGUACACAUUUAUAACUGCAUUAUUUAACUCUGCCAAGUAUUUUCAGGACACAGGUAGCAUAAGGACAUCAUUUGAACCAUAGCUGUAUUUAUGCAAUCCAACUUUGACUGAGGAAGGAGAAGAACAUACUCUGUUGGCAAGAAUGCAGCCCCAGGAGUAGUUGUGGACAACUUUCCCCUUUUCUGAGUUUCCAUUAUCAUUGACAUUUUUCAGACUCAGACUUUGUUAGAGACGAAUUUCCUAAGGGUAUGAGCUGGGAAGAUGACAUUUCAUUGACAUACAGGAUGUAUAAAACGCCAAAGAAAGAGUGAGGUAAAUUACAAGGUUGUUUUGAUAACUUAUUGAGGUAGCAGAAGUAGCUUGCUGUGCUGUAAUGAAAAGACAGGAAGUUGUGGUUAAGGCAUAGGGUUGGGAAUCUGUCCUAUACCCAGCCCUACCACAAACUUCCUGUGUCACUUUGACAAUGUUUUUCUAAUGUACCCACUAAUUUUGGAUGCCCAACGAGGGCCCGAUUUUCAGAGAUGCUGAAAACAACAGAAUUGGGGCUGCUCUCAAAAUCAGUGGCCAAGGUGUGGCAAGGAAGGCACUCAAAAUUAAUGGGAGCUUUUGAAAAUAACAGUCUAAGCAUGUGUGUCUGCCUCAGUUUCUCUUUCUUUAAAAGGCAGAUAUUAAUACUGCCUCUUAGUGAUCUUAAGAAAGAUGACUUCAUUAAUGUGUGUGGGAUGCUAAGUUACUAAAGUGAGGAGUCCCAUAGAAAUGCCUAUAAAUGACCAAGCUUAAUUAAAUGUAAUGGAUGU